GCAAUCUGCCCUGCACUCUGGGACAAGCCCUGGAAACGGGGUCUAAUACCGGAUACUGACCCGCUUGGGCAUCCAAGCGGUUCGAAAGCUCCGGCGGUGCAGGAUGAGCCCGCGGCCUAUCAGCUUGUUGGUGAGGUAAUGGCUCACCAAGGCGACGACGGGUAGCCGGCCUGAGAGGGCGACCGGCCACACUGGGACUGAGACACGGCCCAGACUCCUACGGGAGGCAGCAGUGGGGAAUAUUGCACAAUGGGCGAAAGCCUGAUGCAGCGACGCCGCGUGAGGGAUGACGGCCUUCGGGUUGUAAACCUCUUUCAGCAGGGAAGAAGCGAAAGUGACGGUACCUGCAGAAGAAGCGCCGGCUAACUACGUGCCAGCAGCCGCGGUAAUACGUAGGGCGCGAGCGUUGUCCGGAAUUAUUGGGCGUAAAGAGCUCGUAGGCGGCUUGUCACGUCGGUUGUGAAAGCCCGGGGCUUAACCCCGGGUCUGCAGUCGAUACGGGCAGGCUAGAGUUCGGUAGGGGAGAUCGGAAUUCCUGGUGUAGCGGUGAAAUGCGCAGAUAUCAGGAGGAACACCGGUGGCGAAGGCGGAUCUCUGGGCCGAUACUGACGCUGAGGAGCGAAAGCGUGGGGAGCGAACA
rnacentral:rRNA from 1 species